rnacentral:rRNA from 1 species
AUUGAACGCUGGCGGCAGGCCUAACACAUGCAAGUCGAGCGGAUGAAGGGAGCUUGCUCCUGGAUUCAGCGGCGGACGGGUGAGUAAUGCCUAGGAAUCUGCCUGGUAGUGGGGGAUAACGUCCGGAAACGGGCGCUAAUACCGCAUACGUCCUGAGGGAGAAAGUGGGGGAUCUUCGGACCUCACGCUAUCAGAUGAGCCUAGGUCGGAUUAGCUAGUUGGUGGGGUAAAGGCCUACCAAGGCGACGAUCCGUAACUGGUCUGAGAGGAUGAUCAGUCACACUGGAACUGAGACACGGUCCAGACUCCUACGGGAGGCAGCAGUGGGGAAUAUUGGACAAUGGGCGAAAGCCUGAUCCAGCCAUGCCGCGUGUGUGAAGAAGGUCUUCGGAUUGUAAAGCACUUUAAGUUGGGAGGAAGGGCAGUAAGUUAAUACCUUGCUGUUUUGACGUUCCCAACAGAAUAAGCACCGGCUAACUUCGUG